rnacentral:snRNA from 1 species
AUCACUUCUCGGCCUUUUGGCUAAGAUCAAGUGUAGAGUCCACUGAUCAACAUAUCUGUUUUUAUGCCGAUACUAUAUUUUAUUAAUAUAGCUCUAUAAUACAAAUUAAAAUCUGGGAUCAUAUCUUCAGCAGUUAUUUUUUAUUCAGGAUUUUUU